UUUUCCAUCUUCUGUUUUCCCUAGCUCUAGUUUUCGCCUUCAAUUCUCUUACUUCCACCAUCCCGAAUUUUCAUCUUCUCCAUUGAAGUGGUUUACGAGCUUUCUCACUCCAUUGAAGCAGCACCUCCUUCUCUCUUCAUAUCUCUGGCCUCCAUUGAACUCGUGCUCUAUAUUCUCCAUUGAAGCCGAUUCUGAGCUUUCUCACCUCCAUUGAAGCAGCUUCGAGGAAUUGUAGAUCUAGUUUGUUUGCUCCUCAAAAAAGAGUUCAAAUUCAAAGGAGGAAGCAAGAGCAGUAGGGCUGCUGAGAAGUGAGAAAAUGGCAAAUUUAGUUGGGUGUUGUUGUGAGGGUGAUGAGAGAUUGCUAGUUGCUGAGUUCAUGCCCAAUGAAACACUUUCUAAGCAUCUCUUUCACUGCUGGGUGCAGUGCUAGGGCUGUGUUUCUACGUUUCUGUGCAGCAGGGUGUGCUUGUCUUUGUUUUUAUUGUGUUGUUGGCUGGUUCUGUCUCUGUCAGGGCCUGUAGGGAUUUUCUGGCCUGAUGCUGUGCUUUCGUUUUUUCUUGGUUGCAUUGCUGUGUGUUGCUGUGUUGUGUCUUGGAGCUGCUGCGUUCUUGUGAUGCUGAGUUCUUGUUUUCUGGGUUGCCGAGGUGCUGGUGCAGGCUGUGUUUUGGAGGUCUGCAGGGAGCUUCUGUCUGGCUGCUGUGUUUUCGUUCUUCCUAAUUAUGCAGUGCUGUGUGUUGCUGUGAUGUGGAUUGGAGCUGCUGUGUUCCUGUGUAGCUGAGUUCUUGUGAUGCUGGUUUACUAGGGUGCUGGUGCAGGCUGUGUUCCUAGUCCUGUGCUGACUUUGUUUGCUGAUGCUUUUGAUUAGCUGGCUGUGCGUGGUCCUGCUCAACUGGCUGCUGCUGUUUUUUGUCAUGUUUUGCUGGGUGCUGGUUUUUAUUUGCUGUGUUUCGUUUGGUGUUUGUUUACAGGCUGUUUUUUUUAGGAGGUCGUUGUGUUUUGGUUGAGUUGGUCUUGCUGUUUACCUAUUUUGUUUAUAUUGGUGUUCGGCUGUUCUUUACAAAUAAUUUGCUAUUUUUUGUCACCUGUAUUGUUCUUGUAUCUUUUCUAUUUUUGCUUUGUGAUACUUGAAACAUGGUGAUGGAUUGACUUCUUUGAUAUAUGCUUUAUGGAAAUACCUAGAGGAAGAACUUGGUGGUAGCCCUUAAAUCUAAAUAAGUUGAAGGUUGGUGUUACAGAAAGGGUGAAAAUCAUUCGCGUUAUUCUGUCAUAGUAUUUCAUUGAUGCGUUAACCUGUCAUUUCUCUGCCUAAUUAUGUCUUAAAAGAAAUUGGACCUUAAUGGAUCAUUGCAGCUCAUAUCAAUCAUGUAUAGGAUUUUUUUUUUUUUUUCUCAUCUUGUCUCUUCUGGCCUUUUCUCUCUCGAUUUGGAUGGGUAAUGAGUAUCAUUUGAUUUGAUCAGGUGGUGCUGUCGAAAGUAGAACCUACGUUCAAGCCCCCAUUUCUCGGGUUCACCAAGACUGCUGAAAUUUGGA